rnacentral:rRNA from 1 species
ACGAUGAAGCCGGAGCUUGCUCUGGUGGAUUAGUGGCGAACGGGUGAGUAACACGUGAGUAACCUGCCCCUUGACUCUGGAAUAAGCGUUGGAAACGACGUCUAAUACUGGAUACGAGCUUCAGCCGCAUGGCUAGGAGCUGGAAAGAAUUUCGGUCAAGGAUGGACUCGCGGCCUAUCAGGUAGUUGGUGAGGUAAUGGCUCACCAAGCCUACGACGGGUAGCCGGCCUGAGAGGGUGACCGGCCACACUGGAACUGAGACACGGUCCAGACUCCUACGGGAGGCAGCAGUGGGGAAUAUUGCACAAUGGGCGAAAGCCUGAUGCAGCAACGCCGCGUGAGGGACGACGGCCUUCGGGUUGUAAACCUCUUUUAGUAGGGAAGAAGCGAAAGUGACGGUACCUGCAGAAAAAGCACCGGCUAACUACGUGCCAGCAGCCGCGGUAAUACGUAGGGUGCAAGCGUUAUCCGGAAUUAUUGGGCGUAAAGAGCUCGUAGGCGGUUUGUCGCGUCUGCUGUGAAAACUGGAGGCUCAACCUCCAGCCUGCAGUGGGUACGGGCAGACUAGAGUGCGGUAGGGGAGAUUGGAAUUCCUGGUGUAGCGGUGGAAUGCGCAGAUAUCANGAGGAACACCAAUGGCGAANGCAGAUCUCUGGGCCGUAACUGACGCUGAGGAGCGAAAGCAUGGGGAGCGAACAGGAUUAGAUACCCUGGUAGUCCAUGCCGUAAACG